rnacentral:tRNA from 20 species
GGCUCUGUAGCUCAGUUGGUAGAGCGAGCGACUGAAAAUCGCUAGGUCAACGGUUCGAUCCCGCUCGGAGCCACCA